AUGGGUAGGAAAUGCUUGAUCUAAGUCUAGGUAGUUGAAAGAUAUGAUAUGGGGAGGUUUUGAGAUGCUAUCUGUCUUGCUCCUAGAGAUGCUAGAGUUCUGGAGAAUUUUAUUUUAAAAAUCUUAAAUUGCUACAUGAUGAGUUCCUUUAUGACACGAGUUAAAAUUCCUACCAUAGCCAAAUACUCAUGCUUACUAGAAUAGGAAAACCUUCCACUUAUAUUUCAACAUAUAAGCAUUGAGGGUAGUUAAGCUGUGUAGACCCUAAGGAACUAAUCAUGUAGUUGAAGUCAAUAUUAUGUGCUCUCCAUCCAUUGAUCCUAACUACUUCUAUCCCCAGAAGUAUGCAACCACUUGCUUCCUCCAUAUUCACUAUGUGCUACUUCUGUUCCUCGAAGUACCACCCACAUAUACGCACUACACUCUGUGUUGUUUCUAUCCUAGAGACACACACCUAUGUUGCUCCUACCAUGGGAGUAUGCAUUCAUUCACUCAUUCAUAUUCCACAUCCACUUAGAAAAUGUUCUACUCCUACACUGGGAGAAGACACCCAAAGAUAUUCAUUAUGUCUUUUUCUACUAAAGCACAAGUUAUUUCAGUUGAUACUCUCUACUAUUAUCAGUGCAUUAAAAGGGUUCGCUGAUUUUUUUUAAAAAAAAGAGAAAAGAAAAGAAAUGAAAGAGGAAAAAAGUCCUAAAAGAAAAGAAAGACAGCCAAGUCCUUAUUAGGGAGGUAUGUUAUCCCCAAGGAGCAAAUGUAGGAUUAGAUAUUCACCAUCAAUCAUCACCCCCCAUUUUUUAUCAUUCUUAUCAUUCACUUCAUUCACUACACUCACAAGCACAUAUGAUUUGAUUGUAUAAUUAGUUUCUCUAGAUUCAUGGUUUAACUAUGCAAUACAUGCAAGUAGGUUUGAAUUGUCUUUUCCACCUAUGAGCUCCACAUAAGCCAAUUAGAAGUAGAGUGAGAGAGAGAAGGCAGUUAUGUCUUAGUGAUAUAAAUACCAUAUUCUAAGAGAAGGCAUAUUCACUUGCCUUG
rnacentral:lncRNA from 1 species